AUCAACAUGAACGAGCAGAAAGCGAGAAAUGGAAAGAGUCUGUCAGCACCCACUCAGUGUUAAUUCCUCAUCAUUCAACUCCAACAGAAACACCACAGCAGCUCCGGCCACCAGAUCCAGUCUGUAUCCAGAUCAUACGGUGGAUCAGCACCUAGAGAUGACCUCUACAGCCCUGAAUGUCAGUGGAGACCAUGUCAACUAGAUGCGCCUAGAGGACCUUUAUUAUUCCGAGGUGCAGUGAGAUCACUUCCUCUAUGCAGGGACUGUUUCCGCAGCAGCAGCAGCCUUUUCCUGUCCCAGAGAGAAAUAAGGAAACACAUCCUUAUCCAGCAGAGGUCAGAGGUUUGGGGUCAGAAGAGUUUCUUUCCUCUGUGUAAGUCAACUGGAUUUUUGCCCAUUUUAUCAUACACCCACUGAAAAUCAUAAGUCUGAUUACUUAUUAAUGUACAGCAAGCGGUGUGGGUUGAGUUACAUGCUAAAAUCUAACAGUGUUUAGGUUAUGAGCAAUAGUGUUAAGGCCUUAGCAGUCAUCUCUAAUUAUGCAUUAUGAGUGGUACAUGUCCUAUACACACUCCAAAACCAUCCAAGUUCUUGAAAUGAUCUAAGCAAGUAGAAAUGACACACAGUCUCUGUGUUAAGCAAUUGUGUAAAAGUGUGACAUGUUGAAACAGAACUCAGCUGCCCUGUCAUUUCCCAUCUAAUUCUAUGGAAAUGUGUCAUCUGGCACAUAACGCAAUGCCCUCUGGCUCUUGUCUUUAUCGCUGUGUGUACAUUCCUUCAGAGAUCUUUCUCAAAGACAUGCUUAUCUGCAGAUAUUCAGGUUAUCAACUGUCUGCUGGCUCUUUAGCAUACCAAGUGUGUCUGUGUAUUUUACCCUGAUUCAGGCCAGUUGUGUUUGAUAAAUGGGACUGAGUGAUAUAUUGAAUGUUGUUGUAUUUUUUUAUUUUUUUAUUGAUGUUUUGACUUGUUUAUUAUGUUUUAUUUAAUUUUGUUUUAAUAGCAUCUUUAAAUUUCAAUACCAAAAAUAGAGUUAAGAGUCGGACUUGUUUUAGUG
ensembl:lncRNA